rfam:Neofusicoccum parvum TCRNP2 chromosome Tnknown NP2_03_scaffold_814, whole genome shotgun sequence.
AGUCCUGUGACGCAGUGGUUAGCGUGUCGUUCUUAUACUCUUCCCAGUGCGGGAAUUGUAUGGCCACUGAGGUUAUGCGAAAGUCGCGGGUUCAAAUCCCGCCAGGACUA